rnacentral:rRNA from 1 species
CGGCUACCACUUACGGAUGGACCCGCGGCGCAUUUGGGGGGGGGAGAGGUAACGGCUCACCAAGGCAACGAUGCGUACCCAACCUGAGAGGGUGAUCGGGCACACUGGGACUGAGACACGGCCCAAACUCCUGCGGGAGGGGGGAAUAUGGAAUCUUCGGCAAUGGACCAAAGUCUGACCGACCACCGCCGCGUGAAUGAUUUAGGUUUUCGAAUCUCAUUCCUCUGUUAUAAAGAUAGAACAAGUACCCCUCGAGUAGAGCGGUCCGUUGACUGUACCUAACCAGAAGGUCACUGCUAACUACGUGCAGCG